AAGCCCUGCCAAGCCUGGGGCCGCAGUGAGGCUCGCACCGGGACCUGCCCCAGACUCACCUCCCAGCCGCGAGCAUCUAGGCUACGAGAGGGGAGAGGGGCCGCUUCUCCACAACACUGAGUCCCCAGAGAACACGACAGGGCCUCCGUGUGCCUGGCCCUGCGCCCCUGCCUCAACGGCGGCAAGUGCAUCGACGACUGCGUCACGGGCAACCCCUCCUACACCUGCUCCUGCCUCUCGGGCUUCACGGGGCGGAGGUGCCACCUGGACGUGAACGAAUGUGCCUCCCAGCCCUGUCAGAAUGGCGGGACCUGUACUCACGGCAUCAACAGUUUCCGCUGCCAGUGCCCAGCUGGCUUUGGGGGACCCACCUGUGAGACAGCCCAAUCCCCCUGUGACACCAAAGAGUGUCAACAUGGUGGCCAGUGCCAGGUGGAGAACGGCUCUGCAGUGUGUGUGUGCCAGGCCGGAUACACCGGAGCAGCCUGCGAGACGGAUGUGGACGACUGCAGCCCUGACCCCUGCCUGAAUGGAGGCUCUUGUGUUGACCUAGUGGGGAAUUACACCUGCUUGUGUGC
rnacentral:sRNA from 1 species